AAGGCUGUGGCAUAGUGGUUUGAGUGUUGGACUAUGACUCUGGUGAUCAGGGUUCAAUUCUCAGCUUGG
rnacentral:tRNA from 1 species